rnacentral:rRNA from 1 species
AUUGAACGCUGGCGGCAUGCUUUACACAUGCAAGUCGAACGGUAACAGGGAGCUUGCUCCGCUGACGAGUGGCGAACGGGUGAGUAAUGCGUCGGAACGUGCCGAGUAGUGGGGGAUAACGCAUCGAAAGGUGUGCUAAUACCGCAUACGUACUGAGGUAGAAAGUGGGGGACCUUCGGGCCUCACGCUAUUCGAGCGGCCGACGUCUGAUUAGCUAGUUGGUGAGGUAAAGGCUCACGAAGGCGACGAUCAGUAGCGGGUCUGAGAGGAUGAUCCGCCACACUGGGACUGAGACACGGCCCAGACUCCUACGGGAGGCAGCAGUGGGGAAUUGUGGACAAUGGGCGCAAGCCUGAUCCAGCCAUGCCGCGUGUCUGAAGAAGGCCUUCGGGUUGUAAAGGACUUUUGUCCGGGAGCAAAUGCUGGUGGCUAACAUCCACCGGAGCUGAGAGUACCGGAAGAAUAAGCACCGGCUAACUACGUGCCAGCAGCCGCAGUAACAC